rnacentral:lncRNA from 10 species
CUUGGCUGCAGACCCGACAGCGGCUCCCAGAGAAUGCUGGAAGCCAAGCUUGCACAUUCUAGGCAGCCAUUUGGAAGAUUCUUCUCUGCGCAUGACCAGCUGAAAAGGAAAAACCCCGAAACAUUGGCACUGUGAUUUCUCCAUGUGAACAGUUUAGUUCGCCGAGGUGGACAUGCCUCAUUCAUGCUUAUGGAGUGACCGACCAGCCUUUAGUGACACCCCCUGAAAUGUGAGUCAUCCAUGGGUCACUAGUCAUUGGAGAAGAGCCCCUUAUACAAAACUUGGAGCUCAGACCACAAACAACAACAACAAUCCAAAAAAUAAAAAAAUGAAAAAUUAGGAGCAGAGACUAAAUGGAAAGAUGGAAAUAUUAAAAUAAAAAUAUUAUUUUAAAAAUUAAUAU